CGCUAUUUUCCUCAGUCGCCUAGAGGUCCCGCUGAGGAGAGGUGUACAUGCAGAAGUCCAGUAAAGUGAAGUCGCUGUACUGUUUUAUUUUUAUUUUAAACAGUCGCCUAGAGGUCCCGCUGAGGAGAGGUGUACAUGCAGAAGUCCAGUAAAGUGAAGUCGCUGUACUGUUUUAUUUUUAUUUUAAACAGUUCUGGGAGAAUAAAUCCGUCCAGCUGGCAAAGUGAGAGCUGACUCCUCUGGUCAUUUGCAUAACACAACGCAGAGAGCUAACGGCAAUCAGAGUUUAAGGCCAGACCG